UUUUUUUUUUUUUGCUUUAUAUGUAAAAAAACAAUUUUAUUAUCGUUAUUCUUUAACAUUGAUGAUAUAUUAAUAAAAUUAUAUGAGAAAAAAAAUAAAAAUAAAUAAAUGUAUAAAUUUUAAAUUAUAAAAGUAGUAAAAAAAAAAAAAAAGGAAAAAAAAAACUAUUAUUAUGAAUUGUGUUAUGCUGUAUUAUUUUAAUAUUUAAAUUUAGUUCUGAAACUAAUUAUUUUACUUUUUUUUUUAUUAUUAUUUUCUCAAUGUUCUUGUAUUAUUAACACAAAAAUAAAUAUUUUAUUAUAUUUUUAAAAUUGGCAUUAUGUAAAAAAAAAAAAAGAAAGAUAUACAUGUACUACAUAUUCCAUUAUUUACACGAUUAAGCAUCAACAGAGAUGUAAAUAAAAAUUUAAUAAGAAUACUAAUAACGUAUUGUUAUUAUUGUUUUAAAUAUAUAUAUAUAUAUAUAUAUAUAUUUAUCUUUAUGUGUAUUAUGUAUGUAUGUAUAGGUAUACAUGUGCAAUUAAAAACAUAUUUAGAUGUACCAAAAUAUAUAUAAGUUAUUCAUAUAUAUAUUUAUAUAUAACAUAUCAUUCUUAUUACUUUUUAUUGUGUAUAUUUUAUUGUAACAAUGUGUGAUGAUUAUACAUUGACAGAAGAUAGUAGAAUAGAACUAAAUGUAGGAGGAAAAAAAUACAUUACAACAUUUGGCUUAUUAUGUAAAUGUAAAGACUCUUACUUAUGUGCGAUAGUAUUGGAUAGAUCCCAAUACAUAUACCCUUGUCCAAGUAAACAUAAAUAAUAAUGUAAAAGUAUAAUUAUA
rnacentral:lncRNA from 1 species